GGACCCUCCGAGCCAGGUGCGGGAUAUAAUCUUGUGGUGCGCCGUUUUUUAAGCCGGUCAGAAAAGCGCAGUAUUUGGGUGGGAGCGACCCGAUUUUCCAGAUAGAUGAACCCGGUACCUCAGAUGGAAAUGCAGAAAUCACCCUUCUUCUGUGUCGCUCAGGCUGGGAGCUGUAGACCGGAGCUGUUCCUAUUCGGCCAUCUUGGCUCCUCCCCCACCCCCGUAUUAUCUUAAAAAUUAGUAAGAUUGUUUUCUGCUGGUUGCUUUCUGAAAUUCUACUGGACCUAAUGCUCAAGUUGGUGUGUAUCUGCAAAGGCGAUGGAAAGGAGUUCUUACAUAUGCA
rnacentral:lncRNA from 10 species